rnacentral:lncRNA from 1 species
GGGAAAGGGAGAAGGAAUAUGAUAAAAAGUAAAAGGAAGUGUCUGUAUCCGAGCAGACAGUAGUAAUGUGGGCUCCACAAAAUAUUCUAUGCCUUGUCUCUGGUAGGUCAAAUCCUUCAAUACAUUCAGAAGAUAUACGCUAUAUUAGAGGGUACCUUAAGCUCCUAAGAACAAAGCGUACCUGAGAAAUGCGGGGGAACUUCCUACAGGAGAAGUCUGUGAAUCCCAAGUCGUGGAAGCCUGCUGGAAUUGAAGGGUUGUUCUGAAUGAAAGGCUUUCCAGUGGGAUCUCUGGGAAGCUGCUUAUGGAUAACUGCAUUAUGACGCAGUAAGCCCCGAUGAGUACGAAAGGUAAUACAACAGAUGUCACACCUCAGUGAGUUAUCUGGAUGUGUCUCCAUGUGGGACUCCAGCGCAUACUUGCAAAAAAAGUCUUUGAAACAUACUGGACAAUGGUAAGCGUCAUCUUCUUUCCUA